CGCUUGCUCACAUCGAGGCUGGCUUCUCACUGGAAGCCUCGAGCUGCAUUCCUCUCCAUUCACAGGAAGGGAGCCGGCGUGUUGAGCGCACUAGUAGUCCGUGACGAGUGAAAAUGUCCUUAAGUUUUGGAAUUUAAUCAUGGCAUGGAUAUCUAACCCAAGGAUCACUUGAAUUUUGGCUGAACCCUGCGCUCCGUUGGAUCCCAGAGAUCCUGCCCCUGUUGUGUGUGGGUGGGGGCUCUUCACUCACUCACUCACUCACUCACUCACUCACUGAUGGCAUCUUGCCAGGGGAAAGAUGGGCACCACUCACUGAUGGCAACUUGCCAGGGGAAAGAUGGGCACCACUCACUGAUGGCAACUUGCCAGGGGAAAGAUGGGCACCACUCACUGAUGGCAACUUGCCAGGGGAAAGAUGGGCACCACUUACUGAUGGCAACUUGCCAGGGGAAAGAUGGGCACCACUUACUGAUGGCAACUUGCCAGGGGAAAGAUGGGCACCACUUACUGAUGGCAACUUGCCAGGGGAAAGAUGGGCACCACUCACUGAUGGCAACUUGCCAGGGGAAAGAUGGGCACCACUCACUGAUGGCAACUUGCCAGGGGAAAGAUGGGCACCACUCACUGAUGGCGACUUGCCAGGGGAAAGAUGGGCACCACUCACUGAUGGCGACUUGCCAGGGGAAAGAUGGGCACCACUCACUGAUGGCAACUUGCCAGGGGAAAGAUGGGCACCACUCACUGAUGGCGACUUGCCAGGGGAAAGAUGGGCAACACUCACUGAUGGCAACUUGCCAGGGGAGGAUUGGCACCACUCACUGAUGGCAACUUGCCAGGGGAAAGAUGGGCACCACUCACUGAUGGCAACUUGCCAGGGGAGGAUUGGCACCACUCACUGAUGGCAACUUGCCAGGGGAAAGAUGGGCACCACUCACUGAUGGCAACUUGCCAGGGGAAAGAUGGGCACCACUCACUGAUGGCAACUUGCCAGGGGAAAGAUGGGCACCACUCACUGAUGGCAACUUGCCAGGGGAAAGAUGGGCACCACUUACUGAUGGCAACUUGCCAGGGGAAAGAUGGGCACCACUCACUGCUCCCCUUUCUUUCCUUCUUUUUCUGGCUCUCUCUCUGGUCUUGUGAAAGCUAGAGAAGAGAGCUGCCAGUAUUUCCAUCUCCGAUCGAAUUAAAUGUACUUUGUCUGAUAUAUUUGAAAAUAUGAUAACUUUUGGGAGGCCUCCUUCAGAAACUUAAUCCGGAUGGACACUACACGACUUUCAAAAUCCUAACAUCUCUGAGCCUGUCACAUUAAAGACUAUCGUUCCUGUAGUUUUUUGUUUUGCCAACAUAGUGGUGCACACACAAAAUUAUCUGUCACAGACAGGCUGUCAUACACUACAGGAUUCUUUAUUUGGUUGUGAGGAUUUUCGAAACCACGCUGUCCCUAGAAACCGCAACGAGAGUUUGUCACGAGCCAGACAGUGGCAAAACAAAGAUGGUGCUAGACAGUGAACAGCAGCUGGCCACACUUGUUCCGUGUGCAGGGAUUUGCACGGAGAAACACAAGAAGAAAAGACUACGAAUUUGGGUGAGGCCAUGGUUGGGGAGACGUGGCCAGUUUGGGUGGUCUGUACUGCAGAGAGAGUUGGAGAGGCAUGAUAGGAUGUGUUUCAGCAAGAUUCUGCAGAUGACCUCCGUCAAAUUAGAUUUCCUGCUGGGUAUGACGGGAUCCCUCAUCAGAAAGCAGGACACCCAAGAUGAGACAGGCAAUCACUGUGAAACGUUCAAAUCCCAAUACAGGAUUGGGAACACCACUGUGUCCAAUAUUGUUAUGGAGACAUGUGAAGCCCUGCAUCAGGUCAUGAAGGAAGAAUUCCUGAAGGUGUGGCUUUUCACCACAGAGGACUGUAGACACCAGCAUCGGAGGCUGAAUGGCAGGCAAUUACCAAAUAUUUAGAAGAGAAAUGGCAGUUUCCGCAUUGCCUUGGUGCCCUUGAGUUUUUCAUACAACCCCCUAGCCAACAAUGGCAGUAUGUGUCACUACUACAUGUCUAGGUUCCCCAUCCUCAUGAUGGCUGCUGCGGAUGCAAACUAUGAGUUUAUGUUAUGCCAGUGUGGGCACCCGGAGCACAAUCUCCAAUGCUGGGCUGUUUUCUCACUCUGACUGCAGAAAAGCAAUGGACUGGGGCCUUCUAAAUGUUCUGCCACCUGAGCCACUAACUCAAAUGUUGUGGUUCUGUACAUGUUUGUGGGGGAUGAGGCGUACCCCCUGUGGACUGACCUGAUAAAGCCCUAUCCAUAUCGACAGAUGGACCACGACCAGAGAAGCCGCAACUAUCGCCUCAAGGGCAUGGCGAGUAGUUGAAAAUGCCUUUGGCAUCCUCGCUAACAGGCUGAGGUUGUUUAGGUCCACCAUUUGCCGUGAACCAGACAAGGUUACGAAGAUCACCAUGGCCUUCCUCUGCGUACACAACUUCCUCAUAGAGCGUAGGUCUGAGGCGUACACGCCACCAGCGUUUGCAGACUGGGAAGAUGCUGACCACUGGAUCAUCGAGGGAGCCUGGAGGAGACAUGGACUGUGGAGCCUGGAAGGGGAUGUUAACCCCACAAUCAGUGCAAAAGAGCAACGCAACCUGCUAAGGGAUUAUUUUGUAUCACCUGCAAGUCAGGUUCCAUGGCUGGAGGAUCACAUUUAAGUAAGUCAUGGACGCAAGGGCUGUUCAUAUUCUGUUGGAAGGUAGCCAUGCUUUACUGUGUGUAGCCUAAUGUCUAAGAAUGUAUGUAGUUACCACUAUUGAGUCUUGACUGACAAAUGUGAUGACAGCUGUACUUUCUUUUUCAAUACAGUAAUUGAAAUAAAGUUAUAUAAAAG
ensembl:lncRNA